GCCGAGGUGGUGAAAUGGUAGCCACGCGGGACUUAAAAUCCCGUUCCCUUCAAAGGAGUGCGGGUUCGAGUCCCGCCCUCGGCACCA
rnacentral:tRNA from 3 species